rnacentral:rRNA from 1 species
UACGAAGGGGGCUAGCGUUGCUCGGAAUUACUGGGCGUAAAGGGCGCGUAGGCGGAUAGUUCAGUCGGGGGUGAAAGCCCGGGGCUCAACUCCGGAAUUGCCUUUAAGACUGCAUCGCUAGAAUUGUGGAGAGGUAAGUGGAAUUCCGAGUGUAGAGGUGAAAUUCGUAGAUAUUCGGAAGAACACCAGUGGCGAAGGCGACUUACUGGACACAUAUUGACGCUGAGGUGCGAAAGCGUGGGGAGCAAACAGG